CGAACGGGAAUAGGAUGAAACCUAGUGAUUCCUAUUCCAGUGGCGGACGGGUGAGUAACGCGUGGGUAACCUGCCUUGCACUGGGGGAUAACACUUAGAAAUAGGUGCUAAUACCGCAUAAGCGCACAGAACCGCAUGGUUCGGUGUGAAAAACUCCGGUGGUUUAAGAUGACCCCGCGUCUGAUUAGCUGGUUGGUGAGGUAACGGCUCACCAAGGCGACGAUCAGUAGCCGGCCUGAGAGGGUGAACGGCCACAUUGGGACUGAGACACGGCCCAAACUCCUACGGGAGGCAGCAGUGGGGAAUAUUGCACAAUGGGGGAAACCCUGAUGCAGCAACGCCGCGUGAGUGAAGAAGUCAUUCGUGAUGUAAAGCUCUAUCAGCAGGGAAGAAAAUGACGGUACCUGACUAAGAAGCCCCGGCUAACUACGUGCCAGCAGCCGCGGUAAUACGUAGGGGGCAAGCGUUAUCCGGAUUUACUGGGUGUAAAGGGAGCGUAGACGGCGACGCAAGUCUGAAGUGAAAUGCCAGUGCUCAACACUGGAACUGCUUUGGAAACUGUGUGGCUAGAGUGCAGGAGAGGUAAGUGGAAUUCCUAGUGUAGCGGUGAAAUGCGUAGAUAUUAGGGGGAACACCAGUGGCGAAGGCGGCUUACUGGACUGUAACUGACGUUGAGGCUCGAAGGCGUGGGGAG
rnacentral:rRNA from 1 species